UGCAAGUCGAACGGGAUUCGGAGUAGCAAUACUUUGAUGAGAGUGGCGCACGGGUGCGUAACGCGUAUGCAACCUACCUUUAACUGGGAGAUAGCCCCGAGAAAUCGGGAUUAAUACCCCAUAACAUUACGAAUUGGCAUCAAUUUGUGAUUAAAGCUCCGGCGGUUAGAGAUGGGCAUGCGUGACAUUAGCUGGUUGGUGAGGUAACGGCUCACCAAGGCAACGAUGUCUAGGGGUCCUGAGAGGGUUAUCCCCCACACUGGUACUGAGACACGGACCAGACUCCUACGGGAGGCAGCAGUAAGGAAUAUUGGUCAAUGGGCGCAAGCCUGAACCAGCCAUGCCGCGUGCAGGAAGACGGCCCUAUGGGUUGUAAACUGCUUUUAUCAGGGAAUAAACCCCCGCUCGUGAGCGGGGCUGAAGGUACCUGAGGAAUAAGCAUCGGCUAACUCCGUGCCA
rnacentral:rRNA from 1 species